rnacentral:rRNA from 1 species
GACGAACGCUGGCGGCGUGCUUAACACAUGCAAGUCGAACGGUGAAGCGCCUUCCUCUUUGGCGGGCGUGGAGGAGUGGCGAACCGGUGAGUAACACGAUAGUAAUCUACCUUCUCCUUCUGGAUAACCGCAUGAAAGUGACGCUAAUACGGGAUAUUCUGGAUCUGUCGCAUCAUGGGUUUGUGGAAGAUAUCGCGUCGGUGGGGGAUGGGCUCGCGUCCUAUCAGCUUGUUGGUGGGGGGGCGGCCUACCAAGGCGGUGACGAGGAGCCGGCCGGGGAGGGUGGGCGGUCACGCGGGGACUAAAACGUGGCCCAGACUCCUAGAGGCGGCAGCAGUGAAUAAUAUUGCACGGUGGGCGAAAGGCUGAUGCAGCGCCGCGGCGUGGGGGAAGGAGGUCUGCUUGUUAUGAACCUCUUUCGCGAGAGAAGCAGAGCUGCCUAGUUUGUCGGUGGGUUGACGGUAGCUAGAUAAGAAGCGCCGGCUAACUACGUG